UACGGAGGGUGCGAGCGUUGUCCGGAAUCACUGGGCGUAAAGGGCGCGUAGGCGGCGCGACAAGUCAACGGUGAAAGCCUGGGGCUCAACCCCGGGUCGGCCGUCGAUACUGUUGGGCUUGAGCACUGUAGAGGCAGGUGGAAUCCGGGUGUAGCGGUGGAAUGCGUAGAGAGUCCGGAAGAACACCGGUGGCGAAGGCGGCCUGCUGGGCAGUAGCUGACGCUGAGGCGGCGACAGCGUGGGGGAGCAAACAGG
rnacentral:rRNA from 1 species